rnacentral:lncRNA from 1 species
CUGAUUCCACCUCUACUGUCAACGCGCGCGAAGGGUAGAAGAAAACAAAACAAAAAUUCUCCAUUGCUAAGUGGGCAGUGAUAUUUAGAGCAGGGCAAUUGAUCUAAAUUAGUGCAAAAGAGUGCGAUUAGGGCCAGUUCUAGUGUUUAUUUGAAACCUAUCCCUAAGAGCACGACCUCACACGAAGACCACCGCCGUCACAGUACCGUCACUUGGUGCGAACUCGUACGGUGAUGAUGAUUUGAGCGGGAAAAGGAGAAGGAAUUAAGGAGGUUCUAGGAAGGAGAAGUAAAUCGGUAGUUGGAGCAAGACUAUUUUAUUUUUGAGCUGCCAACAAUAAACGGCUGCUACAAGAAAUUUAGUUUUUCUACUUCAUGGUUCACCCGAACA